AAGUCGUAACAAGGUCUCCGUAGGUGAACCUGCGGAGGGAUCACUAUAGAAAACUCUACUACCAGGAGAGGGGGAGGGAUGGGAAGCAGAGAGUGCUUUUUCUGUUCCUGUUCUUCUCCUUUUCCUGGACAAACAAUAACACACAUGACUAGGAAAGAAAAGAAAAGAAUUUGUAUUGUGAGGGAGUGUGGGAAGAGGGGAAGGAAGGAAAUGUGAUUUGGUUCCUCUAACCCUCUCACACACGACACACGACACACGACACACGCAAGAAGUUCUUGUCUGAUAAGUAGCUUACUGAUUUGGUCAAGUUACUACACAUCAAUACAACUUUCAACAACGGAUCUCUUGGCUCUCA
rnacentral:misc_RNA from 1 species